rnacentral:tRNA from 1 species
ACUUUUUUAUUAUAAAAAUUAUAUUUGACUUCCAAUCAAAAGAUCUUGAGAUACCAAGAAAAAGUA